AUUGAACGCUGGCGGCAGGCCUAACACAUGCAAGUCGAACGGUAACAGGAAGAAGCUUGCUUCUUUGCUGUCGAGUGGCGGACGUGUGUGUAAUGUCUGGGAAACUGCUUGAUGGAGGGGGAUAACUACUGGAAACGGUAGCUAAUACCGCAUAACUUCGCAAGACCAAAGAGGGGGACCUUCGGGCCUCUUGCCAUCGGCUUUGCCCAGAUGGGAUUAGCUAGUAGGUGGGGUAACGGCUUACCUAGGCGACGAUCCCUAGCUGGUCUGAGAGGAUGACCGGCCACACUGGAACUGAGACACGGUCCAGACUCCUACGGGAGGCAGCAGUGGGGAAUAUUGCACAAUGGGCGAAAGCCUGAUGCAGCCAUGCCGCGUGUAUGAAGAAGGCCUUCGGGUUGUAAAGUACUUUCAGCGGGGAGGAAGGGAGUAAAGUUAAUACCUGUGCUCAUUGACGGUACCCGAAGAAGAAGCACCGGCUAACUCCGUG
rnacentral:rRNA from 1 species